UAAGAUCUCCCUCUGAUCUCCAAUUCCAGUGCUUCCAUAUACCAUUAUGUGUUUCAACUCUCUUUGUUACCUUCACACAUUAACAAGUAGAACCAAUUAGAGUUUGCAGGAGUGGAAGAUUGAAUUAUCGAUCGUUAGAAUGGAUUGAGAUGUAGAAAGAGAGGAAAGAUACCUCUUUGGCAAAAGGGUUGACAGGGGCAAGAUAUCUGUUGCCUUGGCUAUUAAUGGUGGGAUCAGCACUUCCACCGAUGGCAUACAUUACCCAGUGAGUGUAGUCAUUGUUUACUACGUGGAAAUACCCAUGUCUACACCUGCAACAUUAAAUGAUGGGUCCCAACCAACCAUUAAAACUUUUUUUUCUUUGUUAAAUUAUAAGUUUAGUUAUAAACUUUUAAGUUUGUGUUUAAUUGAUCUAGUUUUAUCGAUUUUAUAUCUAAUAGAUCCCUCAACUUCAAACUUGUAUAACGAGUCUUUAAUAAAUUUCGUACAUUCUAAAACUUCUUAUAUUGGGUGUGUGAAACUUUAAACUUUCAA